rnacentral:lncRNA from 1 species
AUUUCUUUAGUAUGUAACCAAAUGGACCAACUCCAUGAAAAAGUCCUCUGUACUAAUGGAAUUGGUACUCUUGAACCUGACCAGAUUAUUCUAGAGAGUCAUAUUAAAACUGUGGCCAUACUUUCCUUCCAUGAAGAAUUUGCAGAAUUUUCAUAAGAAGAUAGAUCUCGAUAUAGGAGGACAGCCAAGAUGGCCGAAUAGGAACAGCGCCGGUCUAUAGCUCCCAGCGUGAGCGACGCAGAAGACGGGUGAUUUCUGCAUUUUCAUCUGAGGUACCAGGUUCAUCUCACUAGGGAGUGCUGGACAGUGGGUGCAGAGCACCGUGCGCAAGCCGAAGCAGGGUGAGGCAUUGCCUUACUCGGGAAGCGCAAGGGGUCAGGGAGUUCCCUUUCUUAGUCAAAGUAAGGGGUGACAGAUGGCACCUGGAAAAUCGGGUCACUCCCACCCUAAUACUGCACUUUUCCGACGGGCUUAAAAAGGCGCACCAGGAGAUUAUAUCCCGCACCUGGCUCGGAGGGUCCUACGCCCACGGAAUCUCGCUGAUUGCUAGCACAGCAGUCUGAGAUCAAACUGCAAGGCGGCGGCAGCGAGGCUGGGGGAGGGGCGCCUGCCAUUGCCCAGGCUUGCUUAGGUAAACAAAGCAGCCGGGAAGCUCAAACUGGGUGGAGCCCACACCACAGCUCAAGGAGGGCUGCCUGCCUCUGUAGGCUCCACCUCUGGGGGCAGGGCACAGACAAACAAAAAGACAGCAGUAACCUCUGCAGACUUAAAUGUCCCUGUCUCACAGCUUUGAAGAGAGCAGUGGUUCUCCCAGCACGCAGCUGGAGAUCUGAGAAUGGGCAGACUGCCUCCUCAAGUGGGUCCCUGACCCCUGACCCCUGAGCAGCCUAACUGGGAGGCACCCCCCAGUAGGGGCAGACUGACACCUCACACGGCCGGGUACUCCUCUGAGACAAAACUUCCAGAGGAACGAUCAGACAGCAGCAUUCGUGGCGCACGAAACUCCGCUGUUCUGCAGACACCGCUGCUGAUACCCAGGCAAACAGGGUCUGGAGUGGACCUCUAGCAAAUUCAACAGACCUGCAGCUGAGGGUCCUGUCUGUUAGAAGGAAAACUAACAAACAGAAAGGACAUCCACACCAAAAACCCAUCUGUACAUCACCAUCAUCAAAGACCAAAAGUAGAUAAAACCACAAAGAUGGGGAAAAAACAGAGCAGAAAAACUGGAAACUCUAAAAAGCAGAGCGUCCCUCCAAAGGAACCCAGCUCCUCACCAGCAAUGGAACAAAGCUGGAUGGAGAAUGACUUUGACGAGCUGAGAGAAGAAGGCUUCAGACCAUCAAACUACUACGAGCUACAGGAGGAAAUGCAAACCAAAGGCAAAGAAGUUAAAAACUUUGAAAAAAAUUUAGACAAAUGUGUAACUAGAAUAACCAAUACACAGAAGUGCCUAAAGGAGCUGAUGGAGCCAAAAGCCAAGGCUCGGGAACUACGUGAAGAAUGCAAAAGCUUCAGGAGCCGAUGCGAUCAACUGGAAGAAAGGGUAUCAGUGAUGGAAGACGAAAUGAAUGAAAUGAAGCGAGAAGGGAAGUUUAGAGAAAAAAGAAUAAAAAGAAAUGAACAAAGCCUCCAAGAAAUAUGGCACUAUGUGAAAAGACCAAAUCUACGUCUGAUUGGUGUACCUGAAAGUGACGGGGAGAAUGGAACCAAGUUGGAAAACACUGUGCAGGAUAUUAUCCAGGAGAACUUCCCCAAUCUAGCAAGGCAGGCCAACAUUCAGAUUCAGGAAAUACAGAGAACGCCACAAAGAUACUCCUCGAGAAGAGCAACUCCAAGACACAUAAUUGUCAGAUUCACCAAAGUUGAAAUGAAGGAAAAAAUGUUAAGGGCAGCCAGAGAGAAAGGUCGGGUUACCCACAGAGGGAAGCCCAUCAGACUAACAGCAGAUCUCUCGGCAGAAACUCUACAAGCCAGAAGAGAGUGGGGGCCAAUAUUCAACAUUCUUAAAGAAAAGAAUUUUCAACCCAGAAUUUCAUAUCCAGCCAAACUAAGCUUCAUAAGUAAGUGAAGGAGAACUAAAAUACUUUACAGACAAGCAAAUGCUGAGAGAUUUUGUCACCACCAGGCCUGCCCUAAAAGAGCUCCUGAAGGAAGCACUAAACAUGGAAAAGAACAACCGGUACCAGCCACUGCAAAAUCAUGCCAAAUUGUAAAGACCAUCAAGGCUAGGAAGAAACUGCAUCAACUAACUAGCAAAAUAACCAGCUAACAUCAUAAUGACAGGAUCAAAUUCACACAUAACAAUAUUAACUUUAAAUGUAAAUGGACUAAAUGCUCCAAUUAAAAGACACAGACUGGCAAAUUGGAUAAAGAGUCAAGAUCCAUCAGUGUGCUGUAUUUAGGAAACCCAUUUCACAUGCAGAGACACACAUGGGCUCAAAAUAAAAGGAUGGAGGAAGAUCUACCAAGCCAAUGGAAAACAAAAAAAAGGCAGGGGUUGCAAUCCUAGUCUCUGACAAAACAGACUUUAAACCAACAAAGAUCAAAAGAGACAAAGAAGGCCAUUAUAUAAUGGUAAAGGGAUCAAUUCAACAAGAAGAGCUAACUAUCCUAAAUAUAUAUGCACCCAAUACAGGAGCACCCAGAUUCAUAGAGCAAGUCCUUAGUGACCUACAAAGAGACUUCGACUCCCACACAAUAAUAAUGGGAGACUUUAACACCCCACUGUCAACAUUAGACAGAUCAACGAGACAGAAAGUCAACAAGGAUACCCAGGAAUUGAACUCAGCUCUGCACCAAGCGGACCUAAUAGACAUCUACAGAACUCUCCACCCCAAAUCAACAGAAUAUACAUGUUUUUCAGCACCACACCACACCUAUUCCAAAAUUGACCACAUAGUUGGAAGUAAAGCUCUCCUCAGCAAAUGUAAAAGAACAGAAAUUAUAACAAACUGUCUCUCAGACCACAAUGCAAUCAAACUAGAACUCAGGAUUAAGAAACUCACUCAAAACCGCUCAACUACAUGGAAACUGAACAACCUGCUCCUGAAUGACUACUGGGUACAUAACAAAAUGAAGGCAGAAAUAAAGAUGUUCUUUGAAACCAACCAGAACAAAGACACAACAUACCAGAAUCUCUGGGACACAUUCAAAGCAGUGUGUAGAGGGAAAUUUAUAGCACUAAAUGCCCACAAGAGAAAGCAGGAAAGAUCCAAAAUUGACACCCUAAAGUCACAAUUAAAAGAACUAGAAAAGCAAGAGCAAACACAUUCAAAAGCUAGCAGAAGGCAAGAAAUAACUAAAAUCAGAGCAGAACUGAAGGAAAUAGUGACACCAAAAACCCUUAAAAAAUUAAUGAAUCCCGGGGCUGGUUUUUUGAAAGGAUCAACAAAAUGGAUAAGACUGCUAGCAAGACUAAUAAAGAAAAAAAGACAGAAGAAUCAAAUAGACACAAUAAAAAAUGAUAAAGGGGAUAUCACCACCAAUCCCACAGAAAUACAAACUACCAUCAGAGAAUAGUACAAACACCUCUACGCAAAUAAACUAGAAAAUCUAGAAGAAAUGGAUAAAUUCCUGGACACAUACACCCUCCCCAGACUAAACCAGAAAGAAGUUGAAUCUCUGAAUAGACCAAUAACAGUCUCUGAAAUUGUGGCAAUAAUCAAUAGCUUACCAACCAAAAAGAGUCCAGGACCAGAUGGAUUCACAGCCGAAUUCUACCAGAGGUACAAGGAGGAACUGGUAGCAUUCCUUCUGAAACUAUUCCAAUCAAUAGAAAAAGAGGGAAUCCUCCCUGACUCAUUUUAUGAGGCCAGCAUCAUCCUGAUACCAAAGCCCGGCAGAGACACAACCAAAAAAGAGAAUUUUAGACCAAUAUCCUUGACGAACAUUAAUGCAAAAAGCCUCAAUAAAAUACUGGCAAACCGAAUCCAGCAGCACAUCAAAAAGCUUAUCCACCAUGAUCAAGUGGGCUUCAUCCCUGGGAUGCAAGACUGGUUCAAUAUACACAAAUCAAUAAAUGUAAUCCAGCAUAUAAACAGAACCAAAGACAAAAACCACAUGAUUAUCUCAAAAGAUGCAGAAAAGACCUUUGACAAAAUUCAACAACCCUUCAUGCUAAAAACUCUCAAUAACUUAGGUAUUGAUGGGACAUAUCUCAAAAUAAUAAGAGCUAUCUAUGACAAACCCACAGCCAAUAUCAUACUGAAUGGGCAAA